rnacentral:tRNA from 1 species
GACUUGGUAGCUCAGCCGGUAGAGCAACUGACUCUUAAUCAGUGGGUCGAGAGUUCCUUUGAAUUUA